rnacentral:tRNA from 1 species
GUGGAUGUAGCUCAAUAGGCGGAGCAGCUGAUUGUGGAUCAGCAGGUUGAGGGUUCGAGCCCCUUCAUCCACC